CGGCGGACGGGUGAGUAAUGUCUGGGAAACUGCCCGAUGGAGGGGGAUAACUACUGGAAACGGUAGCUAAUACCGCAUAACGUCGCAAGACCAAAGAGGGGGACCUCCGGGCCUCGCGCCAUCAGAUGAACCCAUAUGGGAUUAGCUAGUAGGUGAGGUAACGGCUUACCUAGGCGACGAUCCCUAGCUGGUCUGAGAGGAUGACCAGCCACACUGGAACUGAGACACGGUCCAG
rnacentral:rRNA from 1 species